rnacentral:misc_RNA from 1 species
GGAAGUAAAAGUGUAACAAGGUUUCCGUAGGUGAACCUGCGGAAGGAUCAUUAAUGAGUUGUCAUGGGGUUCGAUGCUGGCAGCCAAUUUUUGGAUGCAUGUGCUUGCCCUAACAAUCAUCUUCCAAACACCUGUGCACAUUUUUGAGGGAGUCUUGAGUUGGUUGCCGCUCUUGGGUGAUUUUCUCACAUUCCCUUAAAUCAUUAUACGCUAUUAACAAUGUUGAACGUGCUCUGUGCCGCAAGGCUGUUAAUAUAAUACAACUUUUAACAACGGAUCUCUUGGCUCUC